rnacentral:rRNA from 1 species
GACGAACGCUGGCGGCGUGCUUAACACAUGCAAGUCGAACGGAAAGGCCCUGCUUUUGUGGGGUGCUCGAGUGGCGAACGGGUGAGUAACACGUGAGUAACCUGCCCUUGACUUUGGGAUAACUUCAGGAAACUGGGGCUAAUACCGGAUAGGAGCUCCUGCUGCAUGGUGGGGGUUGGAAAGUUUCGGCGGUUGGGGAUGGACUCGCGGCUUAUCAGCUUGUUGGUGGGGUAGUGGCUUACCAAGGCUUUGACGGGUAGCCGGCCUGAGAGGGUGACCGGCCACAUUGGGCCUGAGAUACGGCCCAGACUCCUACGGGAGGCAGCAGUGGGGAAUAUUGCACAAUGGGCGGAAGCCUGAUGAAGCAACGCCGCGUGCGGGAUGACGGCCUUCGGGUUGUAAACCGCUUUCGCCUGUGACGAAGCGUGAGUGACGGUAAUGGGUAAAGAAGCACCGGCUAACUACGUG